rnacentral:rRNA from 1 species
AAUUAUUUAUUUGAUGGUUUCUUACUACAUGGAUAACCGUAGUAGUUCUAGAGCUAAUACAUGCGUAAAGUCCCGACUCUCGCGGGGAGGGAUGUAUUUAUUAGAUUAAAAACCAAUGCGGCCUUUGGUCGGACUUGUGUUGGUUCAUAGUAACUUUUCGGAUCGCAGGGCUUCACGCCGGCGACAGUUCAUUCAAAUUUCUGCCCUAUCAGCUUUCGACGGUAGUGUAGUGGACUACCGUGGCAUUUACGGGUGACGGAGAAUUAGGGUUCGAUUCCGGAGAGGGAGCCUGAGAAACGGCUACCACA